UACGGGAGGCAGCAGUGGGGAAUAUUGCACAAUGGGCGAAAGCCUGAUGCAGCUAUGCCGCGUGUAUGAAGAAGGCCUUAGGGUUGUAAAGUACUUUCAUCGGGGAGGAAAAAACAAAACUAAUAAUUUUAUUUCUUGACGUUACCCGAAAAAGAAGCACCGGCUAACUCCGUGCCAGCAGCCGCGGUAAUACGGAGGGUGCUAGCGUUAAUCAGAAUUACUGGGCGUAAAGAGCACGUAGGUGGUUUUUUUAAGUCAGAUGUGAAAUCCCUGGGCUUAACCUAGGAACUGCAUUUUGAAACUGAAAUACUAGAGUAUCGUAGAGGGAGGUAGAAUUCUAGGUGUAGCGGUGAAAUGCGUAGAUAUCUGGAGGAAUACCUGUGGCGAAAGCGGCCUCCUAAACGAAUACUGACACUGAGGUGCGAAAGCGUGGGGAGCAAACAGGAUUAGAUACC
rnacentral:rRNA from 1 species